GAUGAACGCUGGCGGCGUGCUUAACACAUGCAAGUCGAACGGUGAAAGAGGGAGCUUGCUCCCUCCGGAUCAGUGGCGAACGGGUGAGUAACACAUGAGCAAUCUGCCCUGGACUCUGGGAUAAGCGUUGGAAACGACGUCUAAUACCGGAUACGAGGCGUGGGGGCAUCCCCAACGCCUGGAAAGAACUUCGGUCCAGGAUGAGCUCACGGCCUAUCAGGUAGUUGGUGAGGUAAUGGCUCACCAAGCCUACGACGGGUAGCCGGCCUGAGAGGGUGACCGGCCACACUGGGACUGAGACACGGCCCAGACUCCUACGGGAGGCAGCAGUGGGGAAUAUUGCACAAUGGGCGAAAGCCUGAUGCAGCAACGCCGCGUGAGGGACGACGGCCUUCGGGUUGUAAACCUCUUUUAGCAGGGAAGAAGCGAAAGUGACGGUACCUGCAGAAAAAGCACCGGCUAACUACGUGCCAGCCGCCGCAGUAACAC
rnacentral:rRNA from 1 species